rnacentral:rRNA from 1 species
UAGGGAAUAUUGCACAAUGAGCGAAAGCUUGAUGCAGCAACGCCGCGUGCGCGAUGACGGCCUUCGGGUUGUAAAGCGCUCUUCGGGGAGAUGAGGAAGGACAGUAUCCCCGGAAUAAGUCUCGGCUAACUACGUGCCAGCAGCCGCGGUAACACGUAGGAGGCAAGCGUUAUCCGAAUUUACUGGGCGUAAAGCGCGUGCAGGCGGUUCGGUAAGUUGGAUGUGAAAUCUCCCGGCUCAACUGGGAGGGGACGUUCAAUACUGUCGGACUUGAGGACGAUAGAGGGAGGUGGAAUUCCCGGUGUAGUGGUGAAGUGCGUAGAUAUCGGGAGGAACACCAGUGGCGAAAGCGGCCUCCUGGAUCGUUCCUGACGCUCAGACGCGAAAGCUAGGGGAGCGAACGG